GACGAACGCUGGCGGCGUGCCUAACACAUGCAAGUCGAGCGGAGGUACAAUGAGAGCAAUCGAGAUGUACUUUAGCGGCGGACGGGUGAGUAACGCGUGAGCAACCUGCCUAUCACAGGGGGAUAAGGCGGCGAAAGCCGCUCUAAUACCGCAUGAGACCCUCAAAGCGAUGCAAUGGGGGUGAAAGGAGCGAUCCGGUGAGAGAUGGGCUCGCGUCCGAUUAGGUAGUUGGUAGGUAAGGGCCUACCAAGCCAAUGAUCGGUAGCCGGCCUGAGAGGGUGAACGGCCACAUUGGAACUGAGAGACGGUCCAAACUCCUACGGGAGGCAGCAGUGGGGAAUAUUGGGCAAUGGGCGGAAGCCUGACCCAGCAACGCCGCGUGAGGGAAGAAGGUUUUCGGAUUGUAAACCUCUGUUCUUGGGGAAGAGGAGGAGACGGUACCCCAAGGAGGAAGCCCCGGCUAACUACGUGCCAGCAGCCGCGGUAAACGUGCGUG
rnacentral:rRNA from 1 species